GUUAAUGCGGAGGAAGUGGGGAUGACGUCAAGUCCUCAUGGCCCUCAUGUCCAGGGCUACACACGUGCUACAAUGGACGGAACAAAUGGUUGCUAACCCGCGAGGGGGAGCUAAUCCAAGAAAUCCGCUCUCAGUUCGGAUUGGAGUCUGCAACUCGACUCCAUGAAGCUGGAAUCGCUAGUAAUCGCGGAUCAUCAUGCCGCGGUGAAUACCGUUCCCGGGCCUU
rnacentral:rRNA from 1 species